GUCCAGCGACGAGUCCCAAACAAAACGAAAUGCGCAUUCUGGAU
rnacentral:hammerhead_ribozyme from 1 species